UACGUAGGGGGCAAGCGUUGUCCGGAAUCAUUGGGCGUAAAGCGCGUGUAGGCGGGUCGGUAAGUUCGCUCUGAAAGCCCGGGGCUCAACCCCGGGAGGCGGGUGGAUACUGUCGACCUCGAGUCCGGAAGAGGCGAGUGGAAUUCCUGGUGUAGCGGUGAAAUGCGCAGAUAUCAGGAGGAACACCAAUUGCGAAGGCAGCUCGCUGGGACGUAACUGACGCUGAGACGCGAAAGCGUGGGGAGCAAACAGG
rnacentral:rRNA from 1 species